UACGUAGGGACCAAGCGUUGUUCGGAUUUACUAGGCGUAAAGGGCGCGUAGGCGGCGCGGUAAGUCACUUGUGAAAUCUCUGAGCUUAACUCAGAACGGCCAAGUGAUACUGCAGUGCUAGAGUGUGGAAGGGGCAAUCGGAAUUCUUGGUGUAGCGGUGAAAUUCGUAGAUAUUGGGAAGAACACCGAUGGCGAAGGCAGCCAUCUGGACCGACACUGACGCUGAGGCGCGAAAGCGUGGGGAGCAAACAGG
rnacentral:rRNA from 1 species